UGUUUACUGGCCAGACCAGCCCAGGAGGAGCCAGGGGCUUUCAUUCCUAAAUCAAGAGGUUUCCAGAAAAAGUGAAAUAUGGCUUGGGUGGGUUAUGCUGAAUUAGGAGCACCUGUCCCCAUCAAUAACUUGGCGUCCUCAAAAUGCUACAGCAGGACUCUGAGGUCCAAGAAUGCGUGUCCUGUACACGGCUGAGGGACGGCUAUUGGCUUCACCGCAGAGCUGUCGCUCAGAGAGGGGGACAUGCCGAAAGGGAGGCGCUUGCUUGCUCCAAGGACAGCUUGUUUGUUUACUGACUCCGGGGACAGAGAGAGACAACAUUAAUCAAGGAAUAAAUGUCAUUUCCCCUUCACGGCCCGAGAAGAGUGCUGCAAGUGUGGCCUGUGGUUUAUCUGUAACAACAUAGGUGAGCGACUCCAGUGCCUUUCCGUGGUGGCAAACAGCAAGGUGGGCAGGCUGAGGAGUGUUUCCCGAUUUACAGGGGACAGUCAGAAUUACGGCCUGGAUGCCGUGUGACAGCUCUGCCUGUAGUCCACGAAGCUUUUCUGUUAUGAAGGUCUACUUUCUGGAUCACCGCUGGGGCUGCAAACUAGCAAAAGCGGAGUUUGUGUGCACCUUCCGAUUCAGGGGUUGCAUCCUAAGAAUUGUGUUUGGUUCAAGGUCACACAAGGUUGGAUGCCUCAGCUGGAUUUGAACGAAGAACAACUGAGUUCCUAAUUAUGGCUCAGCCCAUUGGACCACAGUGACCUCUGGUCUCUGUACCUGGAAGCCCAGCCCUGUUGGAGGAAGCAAUGUGCCUGCCCUCCAGGUGGUGUGGAAACCCGUUGUGCCGCUGCCUCCGCCCCCAGCGGCCAGGUGGAAUCCAGCUCUCUGUGUUCCCAGCACCUCACACCUGCCUAGCACAGUCUGCCUUGCAGAGCAGGUUGCUUCCCUACCCCUAUUGGACUUUCAGCUCCUCCAACGUCUUUGCAACCAGUUCCCCACGUUAUAUCCCUUCUGUUGAAGACCCAGACAGGGCACUGUUUUCCCAACUGAUCUGUGGUUGGAAUCUCUGAGGGCACCUCCGUGGUACACAUGAGGAGCCUGAAAGCUGGAGAAGCCCUGGACCUGCCUGUGUGAAUUGCAUUAGCGGUGGGGCAGGACCCAGCUCUCCCAGUAUAACUUAAAGACUCCUGUGGCUCUGCUUCCUUGUCGGGUGGGGGGCACUUUUUAGUUUAAUCUUAAAACAUUUAUAAGUAGGGUAAAAAAUUCACAACACAUAAGAUGGUGCACAAUGAAACCUCAAUUUUCCUCUCUCUGAACCCCCGUUUCCCAGAAUUGCAAAUAAAAGAUUACGGGCUUGUAAUAUUUAGGACUUGUCAGGCCCUGGACUGGGAGUU
rnacentral:lncRNA from 1 species